rnacentral:rRNA from 1 species
GACGAACGCUGGCGGCGUGCCUAAUACAUGCAAGUAGAACGCUGAAGGAGGAGCUUGCUUCUCUGGAUGAGUUGCGAACGGGUGAGUAACGCGUAGGUAACCUGCCUGGUAGCGGGGGAUAACUAUUGGAAACGAUAGCUAAUACCGCAUAAUAGCAGUUGUUGCAUGACAACUGUUUGAAAGGUGCAAUUGCACCACUACCAGAUGGACCUGCGUUGUAUUAGCUAGUUGGUGGGGUAACGGCUCACCAAGGCGACGAUACAUAGCCGACCUGAGAGGGUGAUCGGCCACACUGGGACGGAGACACGGCCCAGACUCCUACGGGAGGCAGCAGUAGGGAAUCUUCGGCAAUGGACGGAAGUCUGACCGAGCAACGCCGCGUGAGUGAAGAAGGUUUUCGGAUCGUAAAGCUCUGUUGUAAGAGAAGAACGAGUGUGAGAGUGGAAAGUUCACACUGUGACGGUAUCUUACCAGAAAGGGACGGCUAACUACGUG